UUAUUGUUUGCUAUUAGGCUAGUAGGUCGUUGUUUCACAACACGUUAUCAGCACGACAAUGCUUUCGCCAAAACCCUAAUUUCUUGUGCCGCUCCUCAAAUACCGUUUCCAUUGUCGUAUUAUGAACGGAGAAACAAGAGCAAAAGUGUUUAGGGUUUCUCCCAUCAGUUUAUGAAAGAACCUACCGUCCUGUUGUGCUCCACCUCGUUCCUCAUAUGUCAGCCAAAUGAUUCCUUUUCUCUUCCGCUGCCAAAUCUCAAUUUUAGGGUUUGUGGGCAUGUGAAUCUGGGUUGGAGAACAAGAUUCAACUGAAAUUGGAGCAAUUUUUCAUUCUACAAUACUCCCAAACAUCGAAUGAAUUAUCGCCGAAAACGGUUGUCUCUGUUGUGUAACCUGAGAUGCUUGAUCAACUCGCUCAAAGCAGGUGUUGGAGGUUUUUGCAUCAGUUGCAGGGCUCUGCUGCAAUUGUUAAUUCAUUGAUCAUCUGCUACAAUAGUUCAGUAUGAAGCCCACUGAAGAACACCCUACAAGAAUUUAUACGGAUGAUUGGUGGUUUUUGCAGCUGUUGCAAAGUUCUGCUAUUGGGGAUAUGAGGAAAGUGAAGAAAGAUAGUGAGGGUAGGUGAGGUAACGACGGAAAGGUUUCAUUGUAUCAUUUGGUUCUUGCGAUUUGGUUUGAUUUCGUCUUCGCUAUUAUCUUCGUUCUCUGAUUCAGUUGUUGGUGGUUUUUUUAUUGUGGUUGUCUGUUGGAGUGAACUAGCGAUGUUUGAGGAGGCACUAUUUGAGGAGGUUGCUCAGCAUUUUUUAAUUAUGCAAUGAACAAGCUUAAGAAGGUGGGUUUAUGGGUAAAUUCAUCUUUUCAUCUUCUUCGCUCACGGUCUACAUCGUUAUCCAAUCUACUACAUGAAUUUGUCAAAGCCGUUCCUAUCGGUGAUGCAUCUAUUCAUCAAGGUCUGUCGUGUAUCCUGUACAGUGUGCAAAGAUUCAAGGAAAAAAUUUUGCCUGCAGUGACGUUGAUGCAGCUUGAAAGUCCUAUCGUGGAAUAGUAUGUAGAGGAAAUAAGAACUGAUUUGAAGGCACUAAACAACAGGCAUCUUAAAGCAAGAAUAUUGCUGAUAAAAGCAUUAGGAAGCAGGAAGCAGGAUAAGUUAUUCGAGAAUGUGGUUGCCAAUGGAGCAGAUUAUGUAGACUGAAAUAAGUCUAAUCAGUGGAAGGAUUCAAAUCAAGUUAACUAAUAUGUUGGAGAUGUCUUGCCUAACCAGGUAAACUGCAGACAUUAAAAUAGCAAUUAUGUAAGCUCCGACCGAUUUGUACAUGAAAAUUGUCAACGACAACACCUUUAUGCGAAAAGGCCAGCCUUCAAUGAACACUUCCACACCUGAAACUGAUGUUAUUCCCCGCUUUUACUUUGAUUUAAGAGAUUAUGAAAGUCUUUCCGUCCUACGUCCUACGGAUCGUAAAAACAAUCACCAGCUCCUAGCUCCUUACAGGUUUGCAGAAACGCCAGCUUUCCAGGCCGGAAUUAAAUGAAGGCAUAUGGGCUUCAAAGGCAUAUGGACUCGUAGCUGGACCAAAGCUGGUGCAAAGUUAUUUGUGGAAAUAUGUGUUAAUAUUUUAGUUCCAUAUGUGUAGAGAUACUUUGACGUGUAUAACUUAUUGUGUAACGAUUGAUGGUUAUGCAAAGUUUAAAAAAAUUAUUAACUGUAUGGAGGUAAAUCCAUUUUUUGGUUAUA